rnacentral:rRNA from 1 species
UCCCGCGAMCCAUCAAUUCUUUGAACGCAAGUUGCGCCCGAAGCCAUUCGGCCGAGGGCACGCCUGCCUGGGCGUCGUGAAUCCCCUUGCCCCUGGGCACCCCCGCACGAGCGUCGGCGGGAGUAUAUGCUCGGGCGCAGAAUGUGGCCUCCCGUGGGAUCGGCACGCACGGCGUGCCGAGGAGCGGUUGGCCGAAAAUCGAGCAUGGCGGUGACGGGCACCACGGCGUUCGGUGGAUCGAACGAGAUUGGCUGCGUCGUGGGCUCGGCAUGCUGCGGGCUCCGGACUUUGACAAAUCCCCGAGUGCGAUCCC